CUUCGCGGCGCGCGCUCAGAAAGCUGCGCCUGCGCAUUGUGCUGGUCUCCAUGGCGGGGCCUCGGAGCCAAGACGAGAAAAGAUGCUGCUAUGAAGAUAAAGCUUUCACACAAAUGAUGCUGCAACUAUCUUGAUCUAGUGCCCCUAAAAAAAGGAAGAACCUCAGUGGACAAGAUAGGGCACCAGUGGUAGGAGAAUGCUUGAGACCUGGAAUUUAAACUUGAGCUACGGCCUGAAGGAAGAAUAUGGAACUGAAUAUGACUUCAGCAUGGAACAGUCUGAUUUAUUAAGAGUCAACCAUAAUGAUUCCAAAGAGUCAAAAACAGAUUCUCAGCAUCUGACUUGUAUGGAUUCCAGGGAUCCAUCCUUUGGACAAAAUGGUUCUUCUAGAAUUUUACCAAGCACUACUCAUGAAACAGAAAAUUCACUCACAUCACAGGAUAUCCCUGGGACCCUGACUCAGACACAGGCUCUUUCUGCAGAACAAUUCCAUCUGGUAGACCAAAAUGGGCAACCUGUUCAGUAUGAACUUCAGUCAUUGGGGGAUUCUAAUGCACAAAUGAUGAUUGUUGCCAGCCCUUCAGAAAAUGGACAGGUUCUUCAUGUAAUUCCAUCCACCCAGACAGGAAUGGCACAAGUGAUUAUUCCUCAGGGGCAACUUGUGGAUGUGAAUGGUCUUCAGGAUGUUUCUGAAGAGAAACCCAACGACAGAAACUUACCAACUGUAAGAGUGGAUGCUUUAGCAGACAAUACCAGCAAUUAUAUUCUUCAUCCACAAGCAUCCGUCACAUUGCCCAAAAAGACAGUAACCAGAAUGCUUGAAGAACCUUUUCUGGCUCCUCUACAACCACUUUCUUCUAACACACCUAUCUGGGCCUGCCGUCUAAGGAGCUGUGAGAAAAUUGGAGAUUCAUACCGGGGCUACUGCGUAAGUGAGACUGAAUUAGAAAGUAUUCUAACAUUUCACAAGCAGCAGACACAGAGUGUUUGGGGGACUCGCCAAUCUCCAAGUCCAGCCAAGCCAGCUACACGCUUGAUGUGGAAGUCCCAGUAUGUCCCAUAUGAUGGAAUUCCAUUUGUCAAUGCAGGGAGUAGAGCUGUGGUAAUGGAGUGUCAGUAUGGGCCAAGAAGAAAAGGUUUCCAGUUAAAAAAAAUCAGUGAACAGGAAAGCAGGUCUUGUCAACUCUACAAAGCCACUUGUCCAGCUCGGAUUUACAUUAAAAAGGUACAGAAAUUUCCUGAAUAUAGAGUUCCUACGGACCCCAAAAUUGACAAGAAGAUAAUUCGAAUGGAGCAAGAGAAAGCCUUUAACAUGCUAAAGAAGAACUUGGUGGAUGCUGGUGGUGUUCUUAGAUGGUAUGUACAGUUACCUACACAGCAAGCUCAUCAGUAUCAUGAAUUAGAGACUCCUUGCCGUCCUUUGUCACCUUCCCCCUUCCCUGUGUCCUCUCUUGAAGAAGAGGAAACUGCAAUUAGAGAUGAGAACUGUGCAUUACCCUCACGUCUACAUCCUCAAGUCGCACAUAAAAUUCAAGAAUUAGUUUCACAGGGAAUAGAACAAGUAUAUGCAGUAAGGAAACAGCUAAGAAAAUUUGUGGAAAGGGAACUGUUCAAACCUGAUGAGGUGCCUGAAAGACAUAAUUUAUCCUUUUUUCCAACUGUAAAUGAUAUAAAAAAUCACAUCCAUGAAGUACAGAAAUCCUUGAAAAAUGGAGAUAAUGUGUAUAACACAGAGAUUAUUCCAGCAACGCUUCAGUGGACUACAGAUAAUGGGAAUAUUCUGAGAGAGACUGUGACAGUUACAUUUGCAGAAGGAAAUUCACCAGGAGAAUCAAUUACCACCAAAGGAGAAACACAUCAGACAAGAGGUUCUUUGUCUCCAGAGCCAGCCCACUUGCUGUCCUCACUUUCCUCAUUUCAGCCAAAAAUAUUUACACAACUACAGGGUUUGCAGUUGCAACCAAGAUUCACUUCUGAUGGAUCACCAACUCUGGUAUCAGUAAAUAACCACUCUUCCUCCAGUCCUUCAAGACUUCUGGAUUCAAUAGGAAGUGAUGUAAUGAAUAGUAAUUCUCUACUGCUUGGUCAGAGUCAUAGCCUUCAAACAGAUACAUGUCUAACCCAAAACAAUAGUGUUGCCUCUACAAUCGAGAACCUUCCAGGAUCAGAUCAAAAUCUGGUUGCAGUGGAUCAGUUGGUGGAAGAUGGAGAUAUUGAGCCUACAGAGAAUCUGGAAAGAAGUGUUCAACAGAUUCUGCUGGGAGAUGUGCAGACCAUUCCAAUACAGAUUAUAGACCAUCAUCCAGCUCUUAUUGAAGAAAACUCAGAAGGUACAAUUUCUAUGAGCCAAGUUAAGCAAGAACCCAAAGAACCAACAUUGUCUAUGGAAGCAAAAAAUAAUUUGGACUGUAAAAAAUUAUCUGCUACAUAAAUUAUUGAACUCUUCAUAGUUUGCAAGUCUGGUGACUUCUGAUGUCAUAAAAAAGAAGAUAAUUGGAGAACUUUUUGAUAUCAGCAGAGGACUUUUUUCCCCCAUUUUGUAUUGAAGAUUCAACUCUGGUUAGAAAAGAAUUUGAGUUGUGUUUAUUUUUCUGUGCUGGAGUUCUUACUGAAUUGAUGGUAUUAGAAUUUAUAGUAUUUCAAGGUAAAAAAAUGGAACUAUCAGUAUUUUCAUGUAAGUAUUUCAAUGAGUAACUCCUUAAAAAUGGUUUCUAAAUUAGUUUUUAAAAAUUAAUUUGUCCUUUAAAUGCAUGUUCAGUCACAGUAUAUCAGUAUUGUAUUUUAAAGGUGCUUAGCAUCCCUUUUUAUAAAAUGUUUACAUGUUUAAAAUAUUCAAUUAUUUUUUAAAUGCACAAGGUAUUAAAUCAAGUGCACAAAGUCUUUAGUAUCUAUAUUUGGCAUUCUCCUAACAGCUCUACAGCAAAGUUUGACUUAAUGCUCUUUUUUGUGUCAUGUAUUACAAAGUACAUCUGUAUUAGUAUGUUGAUAUUCAAAAUAAGCAGUCAAAAAGUCAUAAUUGCAGCUAAUUUGUUUCCUCACUGUUGUUUUCAUGUUCCAAGCCUCCAAGUGAACUUUGUAUAUAUUACAGUGAAUUAUAAAUAAACAUAGUCAUGGUGGGUCUUUCCCUCAAUAAUAGUUUUCUGUGUAAGUAGGUAACAUACUUAAAAGAUAAAGCUUUUAUAUCUUGUGCAAAGUCAAUGUUUUCUAAAACUGCCAAAAGUCAUAGAAAACAUAGAUUUAGAGAUCUGACCCUGCAUUAGAGUUUCUAAUUUUGAGGCCCGCUAGCUUGUUUUCCUUCUUUAUAUACUGUCAAAAUACAUAAUCAUGUGAAGAAUAUGAGAAAAAUGUUGCUUAAUUUAUACCAGGUUUAAAAUGUUUUAAAAUGUGUGUGUGUGUGUGUAUGUAUACUCACACAUACACAUAUAUAGUAACUUAAUGUAUAGUGUCUUUGUUACAAUUAAUUUUUCAUUAAAAAAUCCUGUUAUUUUUUUUCUUAAACUUGUUUUUAUAAUUUUUUCUGGAAGUAGUGGUAAUUUUGUUCAUC